AGAACGAACGCUGGCGGCAUGCCUAACACAUGCAAGUCGAACGAACCCUUCGGGGUUAGUGGCGCACGGGUGCGUAACGCGUGGGAACCUACCAUCAGGUUCGGAAUAACAGUUAGAAAUGACUGCUAAUACCGGAUAAUGUCUUCGGACCAAAGAUUUAUCGCCUUUUGAUGGGCCCGCGUUGGAUUAGCUAGUUGGUAAGGUAAAAGCUUACCAAGGCGACGAUCCAUAGCUGGUCUGAGAGGAUGAUCAGCCACACUGGGACUGAGACACGGCCCAGACUCCUACGGGAGGCAGCAGUGGGGAAUAUUGGACAAUGGGCGAAAGCCUGAUCCAGCAAUGCCGCGUGAGUGAUGAAGGCCUUAGGGUUGUAAGCUCUUUACUGGGGAUGAUAAUGACAGUACCCAGAGAAUAAGCUCCGGCUAACUCCGUGCCAGCAGCCGC
rnacentral:rRNA from 1 species